AAAUUGAAGAGUUUGAUCAUGGCUCAGAUUGAACGCUGGCGGCAGGCCUAACACAUGCAAGUCGAACGGUAACAGAAAGCAGCUUGCUGCUUUGCUGACGAGUGGCGGACGGGUGAGUAAUGUCUGGGAAACUGCCUGAUGGAGGGGGAUAACUACUGGAAACGGUAGCUAAUACCGCAUAACGUCGCAAGACCAAAGAGGGGGACCUUCGGGCCUCUUGCCAUCGGAUGUGCCCAGAUGGGAUUAGCUUGUUGGUGGGGUAACGGCUCACCAAGGCGACGAUCCCUAGCUGGUCUGAGAGGAUGACCAGCCACACUGGAACUGAGACACGGUCCAGACUCCUACGGGAGGCAGCAGUGGGGAAUAUUGCACAAUGGGCGCAAGCCUGAUGCAGCCAUGCCGCGUGUAUGAAGAAGGCCUUCGGGUUGUAAAGUACUUUCAGCGGGGAGGAAGGGAGUAAAGUUAAUACCUUUGCUCAUUGACGUUACCCGCAGAAGAAGCACCGGCUAACUCCGUGCCAGCAGCCGCGGUAAUACGGAGGGUGCAAGCGUUAAUCGGAAUUACUGGGCGUAAAGCGCACGCAGGCGGUUUGUUAAGUCAGAUGUGAAAUCCCCGGGCUCAACCUGGGAACUGCAUCUGAUACUGGCAAGCUUGAGUCUCGUAGAGGGGGGUAGAAUUCCAGGUGUAGCGGUGAAAUGCGUAGAGAUCUGGAGGAAUACCGGUGGCGAAGGCGGCCCCCUGGACGAAGACUGACGCUCAGGUGCGAAAGCGUGGGGAGCAAACAGGAUUAGAUACCCUGGUAGUCCACGCCGUAAACGAUGUCGACUUGGAGGUUGUGCCCUUGAGGCGUGGCUUCCGGAGCUAACGCGUUAAGUCGACCGCCUGGGGAGUACGGCCGCAAGGUUAAAACUCAAAUGAAUUGACGGGGGCCCGCACAAGCGGUGGAGCAUGUGGUUUAAUUCGAUGCAACGCGAAGAACCUUACCUGGUCUUGACAUCCACAGAACCUUGUAGAGAUACGAGGGUGCCUUCGGGAACUGUGAGACAGGUGCUGCAUGGCUGUCGUCAGCUCGUGUUGUGAAAUGUUGGGUUAAGUCCCGCAACGAGCGCAACCCUUAUCCUUUGUUGCCAGCGGUCCGGCCGGGAACUCAAAGGAGACUGCCAGUGAUAAACUGGAGGAAGGUGGGGAUGACGUCAAGUCAUCAUGGCCCUUACGACCAGGGCUACACACGUGCUACAAUGGCGCAUACAAAGAGAAGCGACCUCGCGAGAGCAAGCGGACCUCAUAAAGUGCGUCGUAGUCCGGAUUGGAGUCUGCAACUCGACUCCAUGAAGUCGGAAUCGCUAGUAAUCGUGGAUCAGAAUGCCACGGUGAAUACGUUCCCGGGCCUUGUACACACCGCCCGUCACACCAUGGGAGUGGGUUGCAAAAGAAGUAGGUAGCUUAACCUUCGGGAGGGCGCUUACCACUUUGUGAUUCAUGACUGGGGUGAAGUCGUAACAAGGUAACCGUAGGGGAACCUGCGGUUGGAUCACCUCCUUACCUUAAAGAAGC
rnacentral:rRNA from 1 species